UAGUGUGUUACAGGUGAUGAAGUGCAUAGUGUGUUACAGGUGAUGAAGUGCGCAGUGUGUUACAGGUGAUGAAGUGCGUAGUGUGUUACAGGUGAUGAAGUGCGUAGUGUGUUACAGGUGAUGAAGUGCAUAGUGUGUUACAGGUGAUGAAGUGCAUAGUGUGUUACAGGUGAUGAAGUGCACAGUGCGUUACAGGUGAGGAAGUGGAUAGUGUGUUACAGGUGAGGAAGUGCACAGUGU